UUGUCAACAUAUCAAGCCCAGCAGAGGAAGAAAAAGAGCUGAAGUACCUCGGGUACUUGAGCUAAAACCGCACAGGAAGUCGCAAACUGAAGGAGCUCACUCUACCGCCAGACCCAGAGUGAUGUGCGUUUCACCGCGUGAGGCGGGGUGAGCCCGACAGUGGCCUCCUCUCUCUCCUCACUUUCAUGCAAGGUCUGGGAAUGAAAGAAAAGAAUGAUUCUUCAGUGUCUCUCCCUCAUCAGGACUGUAUCUUAAAUGUUCUGCAAGUGAAGGGCCGUGGACCAGACCUUCUGUUACUUAGGAAGAAAGGCCCCCCAACCUCCCUAGCACACUUUCAUCUCGCCCUCGCAAUCCCAGUGUUGGUAACGUCGAACAACCGAGACUUCUCUGCGGCAGUGUUCUGCACCAAAAUCCACCGCGACCACGGCGGCAACACUCCAUUCUCUCCGAUUGAAGGUUGGCGGCAACCCUGCAGCAAGCAAGUCUAUCGGUGCCAUUUUUCCAGCAGCAUUUGCUCACUUCACAUCUCUGUGCACAUUUUGGUGAUUCUCACAAUACUUCAAACUUGUUCUUUAUUGUCAUAUUUGUUAUGGUGAUCUGCCUGCCGUAAGUCAUCUUUAAUGUUACUACUGUCAUUGUUUUGGGGUGCCACAAAGUGUUCCCAUAGAAGACGGUGAACGUAAUGGAAAAAUGGGUGUCUUCUGACUACUCCAUCAACCAGCCAUUCCCCUCUCCUAGGGCCCCCCUAUACCUUGAGACACAACAAUAUUGAAAUUAGGCCAAUUACCAAUCCUCCAAUGGCCUUUAAGCGUUUAAGUAAAAGGAAGUCACAAAUCUCUCAGUUUAAAUCAAAAGCUGGAAAUGAUUAAAUUUAGUGACGAAGGUGUGUCAAAAGCCAAGAUAAGCCAAAAGCUAGGCCUACUGCACCAAAGAGCUAGCCAAGCUGUGAGUGCAAAAGAAAAGUUCUUGAGGUUCCUGAAAUUAAAUGUGCACUCCAGUGGGCACAUGAAUGAUAAGAAAACAGCCUUCUUGCUGAUAUGGAGAAGGUCAUAGUGGUCUGGACAGAAGAUCUAAUCAGCCACAACAUUCCCUUAGGCUUAAGCCUAACCCAGAGCAAGACCUAACUCUGCAAUUCUGUGAAGACAGAGAGAAGUGGGGAAGCUGCAGAAGAAAAGUGCGAAGCCAGCGGUUUGGUUCAUGAGGUUUGAGGAGAGAAGCCAUCUCCAUGACACAAAAGUGCCAGGUGAAGUGGCAAGUGCUGACGUAGAAGCUACAGCGAGUUACCCAGAAGAUGUGGCUCAGAUCAUCAAUGAAGGUGGCUACACUAAAUGGCAGAUUCUCAGUGUAGAUGAAACAGCCUUACAUUAGAAAAAGAUGCCACGUAGAACCUUUAUAGAUGGAAAGAAGUCAGUGCCUGGCUUAACGUCUUCAAAGGACAAGCUGACCCUCUUGUUAGGAGCUAAUGCAACUGAUGACUUUAUGUUGAAGCCAAUACUCUUAAUCAUUCCAAAAUUCCUUGGGCCCUUCAGACUUACACUAAAUCUACUCUGCCUGUGCCCUAUAAAUGGAACAACAAAGCCUAGACCAGGGGACACCUGUUUACAACAUGGUUUACUGAAUAUUUUUAGCCCACAUUUGAAACCUAUUGCUCAGGGGGAAAAAAAAAAAGAUUCCUUUCAAAAUGCUAUUGCUCACUGAUAAC